AGCCUGCUACUGCCUCAUCAGCUCCAUUAUCUACUCCAUCUAUGCCAUCCGCUCCAUCAUCUGUCUCAUCAGCUGUCGAUCCUCAUCAGUCCACUAUCGAUCCUUAGUAGCUUCUCUCUUAUCUGCGCCAGUCAGACAUCGCAGGCAGUGUGGAUAUCUGUCCUGAAUGAGCCUGAGGAUGGGGGAGCUCUGAUCCUAUACCCUAGCCCCC
rnacentral:lncRNA from 1 species